rnacentral:rRNA from 1 species
AGUGAACGCUGGCGGUAGGCCUAACACAUGCGAGUCGAACGGCAGCACAGUAAGAGCUUGCUCUUACGGGUGGCGAGUGGCGGACGGGUGAGGAAUACAUCGGAAGCUACUUUUUCUUGGGGGAUAACGUGGGGAAACUUACGCUAAUACCGCACACGACCUACGGGUGAAAGCAGGGGAUCUUCGGACCUUGCGCGAUUCAAUGAGGCGAUGUCGGAUUAGCUAGUUGGCGGGGUAAAGGCCCACCAAGGCGACGAUCCGUAGCUGGUCUGAGAGGAUGAUCAGCCACACUGGAACUGAGACACGGUCCAGACUCCUACGGGAGGCAGCAGUGGGGAAUAUUGGACAAUGGGCGAAAGCCUGAUCCAGCCAUACCGCGUGUGUGAAGAAGGUCUUCGGGUUGUAAAGCACUUUUGGUGGGAAAGAAAAGCAGUAGGUUAAUACCUUGCUGUUUUGACGGUACCAAAAGAAUAAGCACCGGCUAACUUCGUG